rnacentral:lncRNA from 1 species
CUCAUACCUAUUCCCCCACACACAGACACACACACACCCAUUCCCCCCACACACCCAUUCCCUCCCCCCACACACAGACACACUCAGGCCCAUUCCCACACACACACACACCCAUUCCCCCACAGACACACACACACUCUCACACCCAUUCCCACACACACAGACACACACCCAUUCCCCACACACAGACACACUCAUACACACACACCCAUUCCCACACACUCACAUUCCCCCCACACACUCACACCCAUUCCCACACACAGAGUCAUACACACACACUCACACCCAUUCCCCACAGACACACUCAUUCCCCACACACAGACACACUCAUACCCACACUCACACCCAUUCCCACUCACACACUCACAUGCCCACACUCACAUUCCCCCCUCACACCCAUUCCCACACACUCACGUUCCCACACACUCACACCCAUUCCCACAUACCCAUUCCCACACACACUCACAUUCCCACACACACAUUCCCACACACACUCAUACAGUCUCACACCCAUUCCCACACACACACUCACAUUCCCACACACUCACACCCAUUCCCACACACACACACUCACACACUGUAACACACACACCCAUUCCCACACACACACCCAUUCCCACACAAGACACACACACCGAUUUCCACACACACACGUACGCACACCCAUUCCCACACACACCCAUUCCCCCACACAUUCCCACACACAUGCACUCCCACACACACCCAUUCCCACACACACUCAUACACACUCACACCCAUUCCCACACACAGACACACACACGCACGCACACACGCGUACACACACACAUUCACACACAGUCACACACGUUAAGCCAUUUUAACUUUAGCGCCUCAGCUCUCAGUCCCCAAAUCACCUGCACACCCAGAGGCAGGGGCUACUCACAACGGAGCACCUUGGACAGAGGCAGGUAAACCCACUAAGCUGGAUUCCUGGAGAAGCAGGAAAAAGCGGAGCCGUUUCUCCUUGAACAUCCUAGAUGCUCAGAUAAAAGAGAUGGAAUCUCAUUGGAUGGAUUUGAGGAAACCCCCAAAGCUGCUUCUUGAAAACAUCAACCAGCGACCUGCCGUGUGCUGAGAUUCUACCUGGCUCUUUGUUUUCAGGAAGUCUUCCUGAGAGAGCACACUGUUGGCGUUUUGCUGGGUAGAUAUCCCUUGGGGGGGUGUCCUACCUACUGAAGGGUGAAUAGCAACCUUGCUCAACCAUCACCCCAACAAAAUCCAGGAGCACCCUCAGUCACUGUGACCCCCAAAUGGCGUUUGUUGUAUCCCCCAAAUCCAUAUGUUGAAGUCUUAACCCCCAGGACCUCAGAAUGUGGCUGUAUUUGGAAACAGGGUCUUUCAAGAGGUAACUAAACUAAGAUGAGGGCUUUGGAGUGGGCCCUAAUCUAAUCUGACCGGUGUCUUUAGGAUGCAGUUUGGGUAUUUGUCCCUGCCCAGAUCUCAUGUGGAAAUGUGAUCCUCAGUGUUGGAGGUGGGGAUUGGAGGGAGGUGUUUGGAUCAUGGGGGUGGAUCCCUCAUGAAUGGCUGGGCUAGCCUCUUGGUGAUAAGUGAGCUCGAGCCCUGGGUUCACAGGAGUCCUGGUCUUUUAAAAGUGUGUGACACAUCCCCCCUCCUCUUUCUCACUCCUGCUUCCCCCUGUGAUGAGCUGGCUUCCCCUUCUUCUUCCGCCAUGACUGGACGUUUCCUGAGGCCACCCCAGAGACAGAUGACGUCACGCUUCCCGUACAGCCUGCAGAUCCCUGAGCCAAUUAAAGCGCUUUUCUUCAUAAAUUACCCAGCCUCAGGGACUUCUUUAUAGCCAGGUGAGAACGGACUAAGAAGAAAAAGUUGGGAAGCAGACGCUGACAGAGGGAUGACCACGUGAGGACACAGGGAGAGGAUGGCGUCUGCAGGCCACGGAGGGGCCUGAGGAGGAACCAGCCCUGCCCACGCCGUGAUCUCAGAUUUCCGGACCUCAGGACUGCGGGGAAGGGAGUUUCUGUUGUUCAAGCUGCUCGGUCCACGGUACUUUGUUAUAGAAGCCACAGCAGAGUUAUAUGCGUGUGUAUGCGUGCACACACACACUCACACACACACACACAGACACUAACACACACGGACACACACUUUCUCACACACAGAAACACACAAUGACACACACAGACACACUGACACACAGGCACAAACACACACACUCUGUCACACUGACACACACACACAAACACUGACACAUUCACAUACGGACACACUCUCGACCACUCACACACACUGACACACACAGACACACUGACACGCGGGCACACACAGACACACUCACGACACACAGACUCACGUACACUGACACACUCUCACGGACACACACUCUCGCACUCUCACACAGACACACACACUGAUACAGACACACACGCUGACACACACAGAGACACACACACUGACACAUCCACACAGAGGCCCCACAUUUCUCAGCCUUUUGAGGUAGUACAUUUAAAUAGCAUUUAAAAUACCUAUUAAUUCAUUAAAACACUCAUAAUCCUGUUAUACGUCAGCGUAAAUACCUUAUGACAAAUAGCCGACUGGAAACCACUGACUGAAAACCACAGAGUCAGCUCACGGAAGAUGGCUGUUAAAAUGCAAAUGCACUUUGGGGAGGACAUGGUGGCGUGAGUGUCAGGAAGGAGUGACUUGGCUUGUGAGUCAGCGUCUAGAAGGCGUGCGUCUGGCCUCUGAAGUCGGAUGGGAGGGCCUGGGCUGCCUCCUGACUGCCACUUCCCUGCUGCGCGGCCUCCAGCCAGUGUCUCCACCUCCCUGCCCUUGGUCCGUAAAUGGGGGGGUAAUAGGACCCACUGCACGCGUUAUAGGAGGGUCAAGUGGCUCCAUAUCUGCAAAGGGCUUAGGACAGCGCCUGGAAAGCACGCGGCGUCUGCCUUCCUCCGUCACUGGGAAGCUCGGGGGAGGGGCCACACGGACACAGGCUAUUGGCUGAGGGAGCAGGGAGGGGCUGAGACACGAUCUGGAGCCCGGGACUCACACAUUGGGUCUGAAGAGCUAUGGAGGCCACCACGGAGCAUGCGUUUAUGGGGGUUGAAUGCAGCCACGAUGCCACGUUAGAAAUCACCAAUGAGAAACACUAGAAAUCGAAACUAAGAGCAUUUAAAAUACCUAUUAAUUCAUUAAAACAAUCAUAAACCUGUCAUACGUCAACGUAAAUACCUUAUGACGAACAGCUAUAUUUUCCAAAACAAAAAGCAUUUAGGGGGAGGCAUGGCAUUGUCUUCGUGUCUGCAGAGCUCUCCAGUGUCUGACUUGGAAGAGCUGGGUUUUCCUGCCUGCUCCUGCAUUCCACCUGCUUGCAGAGCAUGGAGACAGUUCCGUGUGACACAGACAUGCAGCUAGCAAAGUGGGUCCCUCAGGGGGUCUCGGGGAUGUCAGGGUCCAGGGGCCUCCCUGAGGGCUUCUGAUAUGGUCUGGAAGGUGCUCCGCAGAGCCAGGGCAGUGGGCGUGCUGGGGAGCCAGGCUGGGGGGCUGGGCACCCCCUCCCUCAUCCAGAGCAGCCCUAUUCCUAUCAGAUACAUGUCUUGGGCUCUGAGUCAAAUGCUGUGUGUACAAUAAAGUGGAUACACCUGCUCUGGGGCCUGGGGCUACACUGGAAAGGUGAGGCUUUGGGAUGGGAUGGUGGAGGGGAACCGCUAGGGCCCUGGGAGAUAAGGGCGAGAGGCCUCAGGUGUGCCCAGGUGGGAGAGCCAGGGCACCUGCAGUGCUGCUGGUCCAGUCCCAAAGCCAGCAGAGGCCCUGCUACCUCCACAUGCUGGACUCCAGGAAUUGCUCCUGGCAGCAGCAGGGAGCCCUGUGGAGCCAGGACACAGAGCCACAUGGUGCGAGGGUGGCUGCUGCCAGGAGUGGAGAGGCGGCGUGCACAUGGGUGACCUUGAGUGCACAGGUGCUGUGUGCCCACACAAGAGGUAGCUGGCCCACGGGGUGCUGCCCUCCCUCUGCCCCCCCAGCACACCUGGUCCACACACCUGCCCUGCUUCACCUGGUGCCACACCCUUGGGAGCACUGCUGAGGCCUAGAAGUCUUGGGCAUGAGUGUGGCCUCCCGAUAGGCAGGGCUCUGGCUCUCAUCUGGGAGCACGGCAGAAGCUGUUGUCUGGGAGCACGGGUGUCCAAGCCCAUGGAGAGCUGUCCCCCAUGGAGAGCUGUCCCCCAGAGCCACCUCUUGCUGGAGGCAGAGCGCCUGCAGCAGGAUGCGGGCCUCACAUCUCAGGGCCUCGGCCUCCCUCGUGCUUACCCCUCCCACAGGCUCCUCUGCCCUUGCUGUCCUCACCUGGACCCUCCCCGAGAUCCCCGAGUGCCCAUCCCUUCACCAGGAGCCACUGGCCCAGUGUCUGUUUCCUGCCUCACUUUCCUUCCCAGGGUAUCCCCUGCUGCCCUGCAUGAGGCUUCUUUACCUGCUGUCUGUCCACCCCAAGGCAGGAGCUCCCUGAAUGCUGGAGCACCAACAGCUCGGUCCCUGCAGAGUCCCAGCACCCAGUGAAGCCACUGUGAGGAGGACUUGGGCCUCAGGAUGCACGUGCAGCCAUGGAGACCCCACGGGGCGGCCCCUCGGAUGAUCCUGGCCUUCUGGGUGGUCCCCGAGGGUUUGUUUCUUUCUGGGACUUUCUAACAGGAGGUCCUGCUCCUUGCCGCCGACUCAGCCCUGCCUGUAGCUUCCACAGUGCGUCAGAAGUCACCGCUCACCUGAUGCUGGGAAUCCUCCUCCCAGGGCUCUGGAAAAUUCCACCUCAGCCUG